rnacentral:lncRNA from 1 species
AAAGGGAUGAACUCGACGCAUUGACGUUCCUUAGAGUCAUUUAACAAUAGAUUUUUUUCUUAUAAAGUGAUAAAAAAAAUUCUAUUUGUUACAUAUACAUACAAAAGAAGAAAAAAUGGCUCGAAGUUUAUUUUGUGCUUUGAUUAUAUUUCUUUCGAUUUUUCUUGUGGUUACUCAUGGCGGUAAGUCAUUUUUCACACAAAUUUUAAAUUUCUAAUUUUUCUUAUUUCAUCACCUUUUAAGAAAAUUUAUUCUAUUCUUAUUUGACAUCACAGAUCCCGAAGAACAAAUAGAAUUUGUUAUAAAAGGUGUUCCCUGUGUUAGUACUUUUGAUUGUCCAAGAACUCAUUGCUACCCUCCUGCAACUCCGCAGUGCAUUAAUGAAUAUUGCGGUUGCGUCUAAGUGUAACAAUUAUGUUGAAAAAUAAUUACAGUUAAAUCAAUUUUUUGGUCUUAAAAAAUUAAUUAUCAAAUUCAAUCAUUUGUCAACAUAAAAAGUGGCAUGUUUUGUAUCUACAAGAUUUUUUUUUUACAUGCAGUUUUAGUCCAUACUAUUUUUAAAAACAUAGAACUUUUAAAAUGAGGUCAAUUAAAAAUGAGAAUAUUAAAUUUCAAAAGGUUAAAAUAAAAGUAAUAAAACCUCACCCUAAAAAUCAAACUUUGAGCUUUUUUUAUUACAAAUGUUUUAUAAUAUUUUAAACACGUCUCUAAAGUAAUCAUUCAAAAAUGUACAUUAGCUUAAAACAUGGACUAAAACUGCAUGCACAAAAAUAUUUUAGGACAAAAACAUACAUUUUUUUAUAAGGACGAAAAGUGAAAUUUGAUAAUUCUUUUGGAGGCGAAAAGUUUAUUUAAUCCAGUUAAUUAUAUGUUGCUUUUAAUCAUAUAAUUUUAUUUGUAAGUCAUAAUGUAUGCAUAUUGUUUGUGUUUGUCUGUUUGUGGAAUUAUA